GCUAGGAUAGCUCAUUGCUAGAGCAUGAGACUCUUAAUCUCAGGUUUGUGAGUGCAAGCCCCACGAUGGGCAAGUUUCCUGCA